rnacentral:misc_RNA from 1 species
UCGUUGUAAGCGACGUAAAUAACCACGACGACAGGAAUCCGUGAGAUAAUGUGAGAUACGAGGCAGAUAUGGUCAUUUUUUUACAGGUCUGAUCUUAUGUCAGCCAUUCUUCUCCUUCUUACGCUAUGUAGUUGCAGUGGAGAGUUGCUCUGAUAAGUGUACAAGAUGUGGUGGAUUAUACUCACCUUACUAGCCCUGAUUGUAAUAGUCAGAGUAUGGUACAGACUGCAAUCAGGGCGCUGCACGUCUCAAAAAACGUUGGAUGGCAAGACCGUAAUUAUCACAGGUGCCUCCGCAGGUAUUGGUAAAGCUGCAGCAUUUGACCUGGCAAGGAGAAAAGCUCGGGUCAUCCUUGCCUGCAGGAAUUUAGAAAAGGCUCAGAAAGUUGCAGAUGAGAUCAUAAGGGACACAGGAAACACUUCAGUCCUUGUACACAAGCUAGAUACAUCAGACCUCUCUUCUGUUCGAAGUUUUGCAAGUGAGAUUAUCAAAACAGAAAAUUCUCUACAUAUUUUGAUAAAUAAUGCUGGGAUGGCUGGUCAUUAUAAAAGGGAACAUACAGCUGAUGGCUUGGAGUUAACCAUGGCAACAAACCACUAUGGCCAUUUUCUACUUACCAAUUUGUUACUGAAUCUUCUGAAGAAAAGUGCCCCGAGCAGAAUCGUCAAUGUGUCUUCCAAAAUGCACGAGUUUUGCAGUAAGCUAGACCCAGAAGACCUCAAUUUCGAGAAGAGUUCUUAUAGCAGUUUCACGUCAUACAAUCAGAGCAAACUGUGUAACAUCCUCUUCACACUAGAACUCGCAGAAAGGCUUCAUGGCUCAGGGGUUACAACAAACAGCUUGCACCCUGGAGCUGUGGAUACUGAAAUUGCCCAGAAAAUGGGUGGCUUUGCUGGUUACACACAAGCAUUUUUGUUCAAGUUGAUGGGAAAGGAUUGUGAACUCGGUGCUCAGACCAUCAUCCACUUGGCAGUUGCAGAAGAAGUUGAAGGCAUAUCAGGGAAAUACUUUGUUGACUGCAAGGAGAUAGAGAGUUCCAAGCUAGCUCAGCACAGAGGAAUUGCCAAAAAGCUGUGGCUUGCCAGUGAACUUGAUGUGAAGUUGGAAGAUGAGGAAAUGAAGUAGUCUAUGAGGAGGAACCUACAGCAAAAUAUAAAAGUAUAUACGUACAUACAUACAUAUAUAUAAUAUAUAUAUCUGUAAGUGAAUGAUAAGACAUGACAGGCAAGUAAACCAUCCACUUUGCCUGUGCAAGCCAUACCUGUGCCUUGUUAUCUACAGACCAAACAUCUUGUCAUGUAAGUGGAAGUGUCUCCUGUGUGUCAAAGACUUCCUGCUUUCUCUAGCUUCUUUUCUGCUCCAGCUUACAUUUGGUUUCUCUCAGGUGCUGAAUGCUUCUGGCUUUGUCAGCUUUAAGAAUUACAGAUUUUUGUUGUUGAAAGAUUAUUAAUUAUAGAGUUUUAUGUGUAAUAGCACUGGCUUGAUAUCCCUUGGCCUGACUUUUUUAUUUUGUGUGUGUGUGUGUGUGUGUGUGUGUGUGUGUGUGUGUGUGUGUGUGUGUGUGUGUGUGUGUGUGUGUGUGUGUGUGUGUGUGUGUGUGUGUCGGUGUGUGUGAGAGAGAAGAGAAUCUAAAGCUGCUUUUGAGUAGAUAGAAAGUUUAGAAAAUUAAUUAGUAAUCUCUGAAUUGACAGUGCUUAUGAAUUUAUUUUGCUUGAUAAUGGAAGUUGUUUGGAUUGAAAAUACAUAUAGAGAUAAUCGUAAAACAACUAGACAAAGAAUAUGUUCUCCGCAAACAACAAAAACUGUAGUCUAGGACAAGGAUAGCUUUAAAAGUUUGUCCGUAUUCAAAUCUGUAUUAUAUACAUUGCAAAGAAUAUAGAACAAAAGUGAAUGCUCAAAAUGUGUGUAUGUUCUGUUAAUACCAUGUAUAACAUAUCUGUCACAUUUUGCUUGAUAUCUGCUUUAUAUUUUGCAAUUCUAUAGAAUUUGCAUGACUUUUGAUAUCUGGUAAAUAAAAUCAUAUGAAUUA